rnacentral:rRNA from 1 species
UACGUAGGGUGCGAGCGUUGUCCGGAAUUAUUGGGCGUAAAGGGCUCGUAGGCGGUUUGUCGCGUCGGGAGUGAAAACCAGGUGCUUACACCUGGCUUGCUUUCGAUACGGGCAGACUAGAGGUAUGCAGGGGAGAACGGAAUUCCUGGUGUAGCGGUGAAAUGCGCAGAUAUCAGGAGGAACACCGGUGCGAAGGCGGUUCUCUGGGCAUGACCUGACGCUGAGGAGCGAAAGUGUGGGGAGCGAACAGG